AACGAACGCUGGCGGCGUGCUUAACACAUGCAAGUCGAACGCGAAAGGGACUUCGGUCCUGAGUAGAGUGGCGCACGGGUGAGUAACGCGUAAGUGAUCUACCCCUGUAUUUGGGAUAACUAUGGGAAACUGUAGCUAAUACCGGAUACGUUCAUGUAGUUGCGAUUACGUGAAGAAAGAUGGCCUCUGAUGCAAGCUAUUGUACAGGGAGGAGCUUGCGUACCAUUAGCUAGUUGGUAGGGGAAGGGCCUACCAAGGCAACGAUGGCUAGCGGGUCUGAGAGGAUGAUCCGCCACACUGGAACUGAAACACGGACCAGACUCCUACGGGAGGCAGCAGUGAGGAAUAUUGCGCAAUGGGGGCAACCCUGACGCAGCGACGCCGCGUGGAUGAUGAAGGCCUUCGGGUCGUAAAAUCCUGUCAGAUGGAAAGAAGUGUGAUGUGGUUAAUACCCAUGUCAUUUGACGGUACCAUCAGAGGAAGCACCGGCUAACUCCGUGACAGCAGCCGCCGCGG
rnacentral:rRNA from 1 species